GGAACAACUCAGGGAAACUUGAGCUAAUACCGGAUGUGCCCUUCGGGGGAAAGAUUUAUCGCCAUUGGAGCGGCCCGCGUAGGAUUAGCUAGUUGGUGGGGUAAAGGCCCACCAAGGCGACGAUCCUUAGCUGGUCUGAGAGGAUGAUCAGCCACAUUGGGACUGAGACACGGCCCAAACUCCUACGGGAGGCAGCAGUGGGGAAUCUUGCGCAAUGGGCGAAAGCCUGACGCAGCCAUGCCGCGUGAAUGAUGAAGGUCUUAGGAUUGUAAAAUUCUUUCACCGGGGACGAUAAUGACGGUACCCGGAGAAGAAGCCCCGGCUAACUUCGUGCCAGCAGCCGCGGUAAUACGAAGGGGGCUAGCGUUGCUCGGAAUUACUGGGCGUAAAGGGAGCGUAGGCGGAUAGUUUAGUCAGAGGUGAAAGCCCAGGGCUCAACCUUGGAAUUGCCUUUGAUACUGGCUAUCUUGAGUACGGAAGAGGUAUGUGGAACUCCGAGUGUAGAGGUGAAAUUCGUAGAUAUUCGGAAGAACACCAGUGGCGAAGGCGACAUACUGGUCCGUUACUGACGCUGAGGCUCGAAAGCGUGGGGAGCAAACAGGAUUAGAUACCCUGGUAGUCCACGCUGU
rnacentral:rRNA from 1 species